rnacentral:rRNA from 1 species
AUUGAACGCUGGCGGAAUGCUUUACACAUGCAAGUCGAGCGGCAGCGCGGGGCAACCUGGCGGCGAGCGCGAACGGGUGAGUAAUACAUCGGAACGUGCCCAGACGUGGGGGAUAACUACUCGAAAGAGUGGCUAAUACCGCAUACGAUCUAAGGAUGAAAGCGGGGAUCGCAAGACCUCGCGCGUUUGGAGCGGCCGAUGGCAGAUUAGGUAGUUGGUGGGGUAAAGGCUUACCAAGCCCGCGAUCUGUAGCUGGUCUGAGAGGAUGAUCAGCCACACUGGGACUGAGACACGGCCCAGACUCCUACGGGAGGCAGCAGUGGGGAAUUUUGGACAAUGGGCGAAGCCUGAUCCAGCCAUUCCGCGUGCAGGAUGAA